rnacentral:rRNA from 1 species
AGUGAACGCUGGCGGCAGGCCUAACACAUGCAAGUCGAGCGGCAGCGCGUCCGACCACCCUCGGGUGGUCGGAUGGCGGCGAGCGGCGGACGGGUGAGGAAUGGCAUCGGAAUCUGCCUCGUUGUGGGGGAUAACGUAGGGAAACUUACGCUAAUACCGCAUACGACCUACGGGUGAAAGUGGGGGACCUUCGGGCCUCACGCGAUGAGAUGAGCCGAUGCCGGAUUAGCUAGUUGGCGGGGUAAAGGCCCACCAAGGCGACGAUCCGUAGCUGGUCUGAGAGGAUGAUCAGCCACACUGGAACUGAGACACGGUCCAGACUCCUACGGGAGGCAGCAGUGGGGGAAUAUUGCGCAAUGGGCGAAAGCCUGACGCAGCCAUACCGCGUGUGUGAGAAGGCCUCGGUGUAA